rnacentral:rRNA from 1 species
GUCCACGCUGUAAACGAUGGAUACUAGGUGUAGGCGGUCAUUAACCCCGUCUGUGCCGCAGCCAACGCGUUAAGUAUCCCGCCUGGGGAGUACGGCCGCAAGGUUAAAACUCAAAGGAAUUGACGGGGGCCCGCACAAGCAGCGGAGCGUGUGGUUUAAUUCGAUGAUACGCGAAGAACCUUACCUGGGUUUGACAUCAAGGUAGUAGCAAGGUGAAAGCCGCGCGACCCUUCGGGGAGCCUUGACAGGUGCUGCAUGGCUGUCGU